CGGGGCGUAGCUCAGUUGGCUAGAGCGCCUGGUUUGGGACCAGGAGGCCGCGAGUUCAAGUCCCGCCGCCCCGA
rfam:Candidatus Peribacteria bacterium RIFCSPHIGHO2_01_FTLL_55_13 rifcsphigho2_01_scaffold_3679, whole genome shotgun sequence.